UUGGAGGGCAAGUCUGGUGCCAGCAGCCGCGGUAAUUCCAGCUCCAAUAGCGUAUAUUAAAGUUGUUGCAGUUAAAAAGCUCGUAGUAGAAUUUCGGGAUUGACGUGAUGGUCACGCCUUAAGGGGUAUGAACUGUCACUGUUGAUUUCUCACCUUCUGGAGAAACUUGAUGUCCUUUAUUGGGUGUCUUGCGGAUCCAGGACCUUUACCUUGAAAAAAUUAGAGUGUUUAAAGCAGGCAUUUUUGCUCGAAUACAUUAGCAUGGAAUAAUAGAAUAGGACGGCAUGGUUCUAUUUUGUUGGUUUCUAGGAUCACCGUAAUGAUUAAUAGGGAUAGUUGGGGGCAUUAGUAUUCAAUUGUCAGAGGUGAGAUUCUUGGAUUUAUUGAAGACUAACUACUGCGAAAGCAUUUGCCAAGGAUGUUUUCAUUAAUCAAGAACGAAAGUUAGGGGAUCGAAGACGAUCAGAUACCGUCGUAGUCUUAACCAUAAACUAUGCCGACUAGGAAUCAGACGAUGUUAAUUUUUUAAUGACUCGUUUGGCACCUUACGGGAAACCAAAGUGUUUGGGUUC
rnacentral:rRNA from 1 species